UAUAGAAAAUUAAGUAUUUAUCUAUAAUUUGUUAUUAAUAUUUUUAAAUGUAUAGAAAAGUAAAAAGACUUUCAUAGCAAAUGUUCACAUACUCAGCACCUAGAUUCUAUUAAUACUUUACUACACUUGUUUUAUUACAUAACUCUAAACAUUCCUCUUGCUAGCCAUCAAUCCAUUUUAUUUUGGAAGCAUUGGGAAAUAAAUAAGACAUUAGUACAAUUCCUCUAAUUUUUAUAUGCAACUUUCUAUUGAUGGAAAACUUGCAUAUAAUGAAUUUUACAAAUUUUAAGAGAAUGUUUAGUGGGUUUGACAAAUGCAUAGACCUGUGUAGCCCUAAAACCUUCCAAGGUGUAGAACAUUGCCUGAUGGCCCCUUCUAGUCAACUCCUGUUUCCUCCAAAGAUAAUCAUGUUUAAAUUUUUUACCAUAAUUUAAUUUUGUCUGUUCUAGAAUUAAUAUAAAUGGAAUCAUAGAGCAUGCACUUUUUUAAUGUAAAGCUCCUUUCACUUAGUACAAUGAUUUUGAGAUUCAUAUUGGUCAUUGUGUAUAAGUAGUUUAUCUCUUUUUGUUGCUGAGUAGUAUCUCAUUGGGUGAUUUUACUACAUUUUUUUAGCCAUUCUUCUAUUGAUGGAUACCGAGGUUAUUUUUAGUUUUGGGCUAUUAUGAAUGAAGCUGAUAUGAACAUCCUUAAGAAGUCAUUUCUAAAAUGUAUUCAGAAAUUAAAAGAACAAGGCAUAGUUAAGAUACUUUUGAAAAAUAGAGUUUGAGAGUUUGUAUUACAGGAUUUCAAGCCUAGGAUAGACAAAUAGACCAAAGAAAGAUAAUAGAAAGCUGGACACAAUCACACACACACACACACACACACACACACACACACACACGGGAACUUAAUUUAUGACAAAGGUGGCACUAUUAGUAAUCAUAAAAAUAUGUCUACCAUUAGCAGUAUAAUUUGUGCCACUGGCAAUAGUCCUUGGAGUUCAUUGAUAUUAUUGAUUUAUUGAUGUUCUUAGUUUUCAAUCAUCAGUUUUAUGUUUUUCCAUGAAGUUUUGAGUUGAGGUUUUGGUGUAAAAAGUUCACUUUUCUUCAAGGUAGUUGGUAUACAAAGAAUUAUUCUUUAUAAUUUUAGUUUCCCUGAGGCUCUCUCUCUGAAGGCCAGACUCCAAUCAAGAGUCUAUUAAAGUCAAAUACCUACAAAAUAGAAAGCAAUAGUUACUUGUUCUCAAUAUAAAUCUUGUCCCUCUUUGCUGAAUUAAGAGUUCCUUUUGGAUUGGUUUAGGAAAACCAAUUAAAAAAUCCCCCAAUAUUUGCAUUUAAAAAAAGAAAAUACACCAUAAAGAACUAAUGAUUGAUACAUUGUAAGGGUGAUAUACUUUUAAGCACACAGUUUUUCCAAUUAAAACUUGCCAAGAGGAACAAAUUAUCAACUCUUGUUUUGAUACAAUGGGAGAUAUAAUUGUAUACUCAUAUUUUUCAGUCCAAUUUGCAUUUGAUUAAACUUUUCAUUUUGAUUUUCAACACAUAAGAGCUGAUAAAAAAGAUAUAUCCAUGUGAAUAGUAAAUGUUGUAAGAAAUAAAAAAAAUUACCUUGGAAGUAGGCUUCCUAGAGUAUGUUGCUCUUUCAAUGGUAAAAAGUAAAUCACAAGGUGAAAAAUGUUAAUUAUGUCCAGAGAGUGUAAAAUAGAGAUGAGCGUGGAAGUAUUUACAUGUGGCCAUAACAUGGGACAUGAAAUGAAUGUUUGGUUUAUUUUUCCCACUUUCAUCAUCCAUGGCCUGUGUAGGAACGUGUGAGGAUGUUCUAUAUUAGCAUAUUAUAUCAGGACACUAUAUCAGAAUAGGCAAAGUUAAGGGGAGCCCUACACAAGUGUCAAUCAUUGUCUCCUACUCUAUUCCUAGGUGGGAAGAAACAGAGCCAAUUGUUUUGCUUUGCCAUGAAAAUAAUUAAAUGAAAAGCUUCUUAUUGAAAGAGAGGUAGAAAAGAGUUGAAAAAGAAAGUAGAUAGGAGACAUGUGAGAAAUAUUAGGUCAAUCCACAAAAUUAGGAAUGCACCUAAUAAUCACUUCUGUAAUAUAAGAUGAUUCUUGAUACUAUGAGACUGGCCACUUCCCACUCGUAGUCAGCUAUAUGGCAAACCCUAUGAUAAAUCCAGAAAUUUUUUUUUUAAUCAAGGGGAGUACUACGAUGGUAAGGUGGUUGAUCUAAUGGCUAGCUUAGAGUAGAUACAGAAGUUAUCUAGGUUCGUGAAGAUGUUAGCCUUCUGGUCAAGCAGCUGCCAGUCAAGAUCUCCUAAGCCUCACUCACAUGUCAUAUUACAGAGGAAUCACUGAAUGUCCUGGGCAAUGAAUGAGAGCAAGUGAGAUAGCAGAGACUGAGCUCCUGGGCACCACCUAUGCAUAGCUGAGAUUUGAUGGAAACAUUAGUAGAGAAAGCCAGCGAAGAACCCCAAGACCAGGUGUGGAUCUCCUAUCACCAUGGGCUUGUUUCUUGUUUAUGGAUGAAAAGAAGAGAAAAAAGAAGAGAAGAUGUCCUAUGACACCACCCUUGGUGCUGGAGAUUUAACAACAAACAAAACAGAUGAAAAUGUCUGUCCUUAUGAAGCCUGUAUUCUAAAAGGAAAUUUGAAAAUAUGUGCUGGCAGAUAAUGGUCCGUGAAUAUUUUUACAUUGAUUGUGAUUUACUGAACAAGGAUUACUGACAACCAAGUUUAAAGGUACUCUUGAAAGACAAACAUGCAUUGGACAUUAGAAACUGUCUAUUUCUCUGGGGCGAUUUAAAAUCUUCACUUUCCUGAGGGACUUUCUUCAGAUUGCAAAGAGAUGAAGUAAAGGCACAAAUUUUCUUAUUUUUCUAGAGAUGAUUUGUUUAGAUUCCAAAAACAGAGGCCUUUCUUCCUCUCUUCUCUCUCUCAAUCUCACCAGAGGUAGGUGGGCCAGAUGUCUUAUCCUCCCUGUACAAAUUGCUAGAGUUUGGAGGUUUUUUUUCUUGUGGUGCAAUUCUACUGCACAUGCAGGUUAGAGCAGGCCCUGUCCUUUGAAUCAUUCUUUGGGGAACUGGGGUGUGGAAACUGGUAUUUCGAUGCUAUUCUGACUGGUGUAAUUGCCAUGAAUAAUAAAAGAUUCAAUCUCUCACCUGGAGAUCUGCAGGCAGACUAACAUUUAAGUGGAUAAAAUCUCAGACCUUCACAAUUUCAGGUGCAAUAAUAUGCUCAACAUGAGUCAUUUGUUCAUUAUUUGUUCUGGAUACCCUCAGUCUAGAAAGCUGUUCUCUUUAGCCUAAGUUACUUCCUUGUAUAGGCUUUUGAUGACUCUCUUUCCUCCAUGUUCUCUGUUCUCUCCUUCCGGGAUUUUUACUAGUUAUAUGUUAGAUCAGACUCUACUUUUCUUAUUUUUCUUUGCAAUUUUGCAUAUAUAUAUAUAUAUAUAUAUAUAUGUAUAUAUAUGCAAAUAUAUACAUAAUAUAUAUAUUGGUUUUGCUGUUGGUUUUGCUAUAAUUUCUACAGUAUUACUUGUAUUUAAUGUUCUUAGUGAUACAAAAAACAAGAUUUUUUUUAUUUUGACACAUAUUUUUUUUAAUUUGAGAGAGAGAGAGAGAACUCACAAGUGGGGGAGAGAGGCAGAGAGAGAGAGAGAGAGAGAGACAGAGAGAGAGAGAGACAGAGAAUUUUAAGCAGGCUCCACACUCAGCAUGAAGACCAAUGCAAGGCUUGAUCCCAUGAACCUGGAAUCAUGACCUGAACCAAAAUCAACAGCCUGACGCUUAACUGACUGAGCCACCCGGGCACCCCUUAACUCCUAUUUUAAUUUUAAAGAGGUUUUUUUUAUGUCCUCUUCUUUAACAACUAAUUGUUUCACGAAUAAAAAUAUUUCACCAUGUUUGGAGAUUAUCACUAUCUUUUUAUUCAAGCACUUUUUUUUCCAGGUUUUAUAUUGUUUCUCACUGUCAUUCCUCAGGGACUUGCCAAUUGUUAGGAUACCUGGGCAGGGAAAUCCCAAAUGUGAGCAUGCGUUAGUCUUUUCUCUGGAACCAUUUAGUUGCUGACUGAUGUGGAGUGAUGGAAGAGAGUGGAUGUUGAUGUGUGACUACCAUCAUUCUAAAACUGAGCAGUCCAGGGAAGUUGGAAAUUUUAAUCAUUCAAUGAAAAUAUUUUCAUUUAACCCCACUCUUUUCGGAACUUGCUUUUCCCUGUACUACUCUUUGACUGAGAUCCCUGAGUUUGCACCCUCUAGCUAAGUUUCUUUACAGAAUAAGUCAGGCACUGAGAGUAAAUAGUCAAUUUACUCCAUAUUUAGAAGACAGCCUGGUUGACAUGGGGAAGACAAUAUAGUCUGUUCCUAACAUAGACUUUCUAACGAAUCCUCUGUUUCAGUUGUAUCUCCAUCAUCUCCCUGCUAGUUAUCAGGCACAUCCAAAGCUUGGGGAUUUGGGGGCUUCAACAGAGAAACUCAAUUUGCUUCUUACUAGAAUUUACUCGUUCUGGUCUGUUGUUCGGGUUUUUUUCUCUGCUAAUUUCUUCAUGUUCUUCACCUUUCAAAAUAUUACUCAUCUAUUGUUUUAUCCUCUUAUACUUUUUUGAAGUAGGAUUAGCUUUUUUUCCUCUCAACCUGAGUUUCAUGAGGGAAUAUAUAUAAAAUGUGUGUUCAAUUCCCCGUGUUAAUUUGGAAGUCCAAAUUCACUUUCUGUUUCAAAUUAGACAAGUAUAUGUUUUGUCUAAUACUCUCCUGGGUUCUAUAUUAAGCUUUCUUUCUUAUCUUAGUUUUCAUUCUAGCUAUUAUCUGUUAUAUGCUAAACAUAAGGGAUAAAUUUGAUUAUGAAUACAGUUAAACAAAGUCUAAUUACCUGAUAAUCUGAAUAGUCUAUUCUUUCAUUUAGGCAACAAAUAUUCACUGAGUCCUUAAAAUGUGUUAGUUAACAAAAAGCCAAGGAUUUCUACUCUUAGAGUAUAUACAGUGGGGAAGCCAGGUACUAAACAAUAGGCCUCAUUAUUAGCCAAAUAACUAUUUUAUAUAAUCUAUAAUGUUUUAGCUAUCAUUUAUGUAGUAUGUAAGGCGACGAUACCUUCUAUUGAAAAAUAAAAUGCAGAAGAGGGAAGAAGGUUUAGAAAUGCUAGACAAGGUAGGAGAGGGGCAAGUUGAAGUACAAACUGAUGGUCUGCCUAACCCUUAUUUAGAAGUUAAUAUCUGAGCAAAGACCUCAAGGAGGUAAUGGAAUAAAUCAAAUGGAUAUUUGGUAAAGGAGGGAAUAUGUAAACAAAGAGACUAAAGCAGAAACAUGUCUCCCAACUGAUAUAUUCAAGGAAUAGCUAGGAACCUUGUUGGAGCAGGAUGCAACAAAUACUGCUACUAUUUUAAUAUGCACCAAGGCAUUAUGUAUGUAUCAAUAGAUUUUGAAUUUUUUAAACUGAAGACUUCAGUAGUUCAUUGUAAUAGGGAAUUAAUUUGUCAUUCUUUCUGUUAUUGAAUGCUGAAUGUAACUAAAUAUUUCUAUAUAAAUAUUUAUAUAUAUAUAUAAUAUACAAAUAUUAUUUAUAUAAAAGCUGUAUUAGUAUUAAUUUUUCUGGAUUUUUCUCCCAAGAAUAUAGCAUUAUUUCCUCUCAAGCCUAACCUAUCAUAAAUGCAACUUUUCCUUGGUGAGUCAGGGUCAUCAAUAGUUUUAGUUUUGUAUUUUGUGCUGCAAAUGAGAACUGGAUUUAAUUUUUUUAAUUAAUUAGUUAGUUUAUUGUUUAGUAAUCUCUAACCCAAUGUGGGGCUUGAACUUAUGACCCCAAGAUGAAGAGUUGCCUGCUCUUCUGACUGAGAAAGCCAGGUGCCCCAUCUCUCACUUUUUUACUUUGUUUCUGAAAUAUCUGCCACAUAUUAAAAUCUGCCACACAUUUACAUGAGUAAAAUAUUUCCAUAAAUUUUGAGGAAUGAAAUUAUGAUCAAACCCAAAAUAUCCAAAUAAUUUUUAUUAAGAGAAAUAAAAAUCAGUUGAAUGAGGGGCGCCUGAGUGGCUCAGUCAGUUAAGCCUCCAACUUCAGCUCAGGUCAUGAUCUCAUGGUUGGCGAGUUGGAGCCUUGCAUUGGGCUCUGUGCCCACAACUCAGAGCCUGCAGCCUGCUUCAGAUUUUGUGUCUCCCUCUCUCUCUGCCCUUCCCCCCGCUUGUGCUCUGUCUUUCUCUCUCUGAAAAAUAGACACUAAAAUUUUUUUAAAGCAUUAUAAAAAUCAAUUGAACGAUGAAAACAACUUUUAUAUAAGCAAUAAAUAAGUUGGAAGUUAACAAAUCUAUUGACAAAAUGUAAUAUAAUGAAUAUUUAUGGCAUUUUGACACCAAAGAAGGAUUUGGUGAAGGAGGUGUGUGAGAGAGACUUUCCUUGGAAGGUGACAGAGAAUCAGGUGAGCAAUUUUUAGGCAGGCAACCUCUAUGCCUUGAAGCUUAUGGAUGUCUUAUACUCAAACUGCUCUUAAAACCAGAUGUAUAGAUGUAUAAUGCCAAAACAUCUUUAAGUGAGGGUAGGGUGGGGUAGGGUGAGAAAAGACUAAACACAAGAGUAUUUCAACAUAUAUGGAAGUAGAACCUGGGCCGACCAGAUUGAAGAUUCAUAGAAGAUGCUACCUCUUGAUCCCUAAUGCUGAUAUUAGGCAUAUGAGAAAAACAUUUGGGGCUGACAGAAAUAUGGUGCACAGUUCAAUUUAUUCUUUAUGAUAUUCUCUGGCCAGAAACAGAUGAGUCAAGUCAAAAUUGCCACUUCUUAUAAUUAUUUAAUACAUUCGAGAGCAAAAAAGAACUCACUUUGUGAAAAGUGGUAUAAGGUUUCAAGAUCCAUUUUGGCAAAAGUUUAUAAGCAAACCAUCAUUAAGUGAGUAAGAUGGUUUAAACACUGAAUUGAGUCAGCAGACACUUAGGGCUGGAUCUUCACAUUUGUAUUCAUCUUUCACUGAAUGAGUGAAUGAAUGAAUGAAAACAUACCUACAUACAUACAUAUACAUAAACAUAUACAUAACCAUAUACAUAUAAAUACACAUAUGCAUACCAAAUGAGUUUAAAUGAAACUCUACCCAAAACAAGUUAGUGAAUCAAAGGUUCAGGUACUAUUCUCCUAAACUCUUUUUAUUUUCAUAAAUUAUUGUCAUUUAUAUUGACCUUAUGAGCCCUAAUUAAUUUCCCAGUUAAAUGUACCCUCAAAUCUAAUUUAUUUGUGUUUAUUGGUUAGGAAACAAAUCCUUUUUGUUUUUUAGUUUUUGAUGAUAGCAAUGUAAAAAAUUUUAUAGUUCAAUGUUUAAAACAAAGAAUGUCAAUGAAAGUCAUGAAUGCAUGUUUCUCUCUGAUAUGCAUGAGUCUAUUUGGAUAAGACAUGACUACAAAAGUACAAAGCAUGUACUCUGAUUUUAGAUUCCCUCCUUCAUGUGUGUGAGCUCAACCAAAUUAAGUAGGCUGAAGGAAUAAACUUAUUAAUAGGUAGCAGUGUUUAUUUGCAUAGGUAUGUGCACAUGUGCGAGUGUGUGUAUGUGUGUAUGGGUGCUAUAUUCCGCAUGUUACCUUUUUUUUUUUUUAAUCUUUUCCUGGAUGGGAAUCUCAUGGAUGAUCAAAGGGCAUCAAUUACAGUGACCUCAUUUACUUGACUUCAUUAAAGGGCUUUAGGCCUUCUGUUUCUUUGGUUAUAAAUAUUGGAAAUUGGUUGGUUUCUCUUGAUUCUGGUGAUUUGACAAAACCUUGUACACAAAGGACACUGGAGAGCAAUUGGAGAUAUUUUCUAGCAUCCCAUAUGAGGAGCUUCUUUCCAUUCAUAUUACCCACAAGACAAUCUUAUUAUAGUCUUCUUUCCAAUCAGAUUCAUGAAUCACUUGACAUUUCAAGGGAUAAUUUCAUUAUUGCCACUUAAUAUUUUAUUACUACUAUAUACUGUGUGUUCAAAUUGAAAUGUCUUAAUUCCAGUUAAUGGCAAGAGAAAAUAGGGAAUAGAAUAAAUAUGUAUAAUAAGGUGUACUAUUUGCUUACUAUGAUUAUUUUAUCAUUGUACAAUAUCUUACAUGGUUUACUUCUUCCUUAACUUUAAAGUCUAGUUCUCAAUUAAGCUUAUAUUUCACUGGUCACCAAUUACUAUAUAACUGUUUGACGGAAAUAUAAUAGAAUGUAAAUUGAGUUUUCUAUAUUUCUAGUAGAGGAAAGGAUAUUAUAACAUCUAGAAAUGCCUCAUAAGUAGAGUGAGGGAACACAAAGACAUCCAUAAUUUAUCUUCACAACAAAGUUUCUAUGUCCCAAACAAACUCAGAAGUUAAUAAUAACAUUAGAAUUUGUUAAUAUUGAUGAUUAUCUCAGAAAAGUGUAUAGUUUCCUUUCAAACUUUCAAUGUACUUGAGUCCCCAUUAAGAAGACAGAUUGCCUGGCUUCAAAUUCAUGCUCUAUCUUUCUAACCUGUCAAGUUUGAAAGAGUUUCUUAACUUCUUGAAGAUGCAGUCUCUUUCUCUCUAAAAUAAAUAUAGUGCCUACUGCAUAGAUAAUUUUAGAAUUAAAUGAUAUAAGAAUUGAAAAAUACUUAACAUAGCACAGGCAUAGGACAAUUGUUAUUUGUUGUCACUGUCAUUGCUGCUACCGUUCAUGUUGUUACCACCUUCAGAAGCUCCAGGUAUUAAGAAGAGUUGCCCUUCCUAAAAAUCUCAUGUUUUGUAAAUUCUUUCCUCUUUCUAAUGUAUCAUUUCCAGAAACUGUUUUUGCUUGAUGGAGAUAGUCAAGAGGAAGGUAGAAAGGUUUUAAAUGAUACUUUCCACUAGAAGUGAGAUCUAUUUUAAGGUUUUAAGAAUAUUUGCAAUUAAAAAAAUCUAUUGGAUAAGGAUUAGGAUACUUUUAUAAUUUAUUGUCCCAACUAGGCUCUUUUAAAAAUAAGAAGGGUUAUUAUUAAUUACACAGGAACAACAGACAUAAUUGCACUUCACUUAUGUUAAUAUAUACUUUUAAAAGAUGACACACCAGUGGGAAAUUUAGUAAUGUUCAACCUCAAAGUAUGUUAUGCUAUUACCUAUAAAAGGAUUUAGGAACAACAACAACAACAACAACAAAAACAUGUGCCCCUGUUUAAAUCUGUCUCAUUACAAAGGCAAUAUGAUUUAGGACAUAAUUUUAAAUGCAGCUCCAUGAAAUGCCAUAGACAUUUCCAUGGUUUUAUGAGAGAGAUGAGUACAUCUUUUUGUUUUGUUUUGUUUUUUUGUUUUUUGCUUUUUGUUUUUUGUUUUUUAUUAUUGUCCAGUUAGCUAACAUACAGUGUAGUCUUGGUUUCAGGAGUAGAUUCCUUUGAUUCAUCAGUUACACAAAACACCCAGUGCUCAUCCCAACAAGUGCCCUCCUCAAUGCCCAUCACCCAUAUUCCCCAAACCCCAACACCCCCAUCCCCAUCAACCCUCAGUUUGUUCUCUGUAUUUAAGAGUUUGUACGGUUUGCUUCCCUCUUUGUUAGUAUCUUAUUUCUCCUUCCCUUCCCCUAAGGUCAUCUGUUAAGUUUCUCAAAUUCCACAUAUGAAUGAAAUCAUAUGAUAUCUGUCUUUCUUUGGCUGACUUAUUUCACUUAGCACAAUACCCUCCAGUUCCAUCCAUGUUGUUGCAAAUGGCAAGAUUUCAUUCUGGGAGAACUGGACAGCAACAUGCAGAAGAAUGAAACUGGACCAUUUUCUUACACCAUACACAAAAAUAAAUUCAAAAUGGAUGAAAGACUUAAUGUGAGACAGGAAACCUACAGGAGACAACAGGCAAUAACUUCUUUGACCUCAGCCACAGCAGCUUCUUACUUGACAUGUCUCCAAAGGUAAGGGAAACAAAAGCAAAAAUGAACUACUGGGACCUCAUCAAGCUAAAAAGCUUCUACACAGUGAAAGAAACAAUCAGCAAAACUAAAAGGCAACCAACAGAAUGGGAGAAGAUAUUUGCAAAUGACAUAUCAGAUAAAGGGUUAGUAUCCAAAAUCUACAAAGAACUUAUCAAACUCAACAUUCAAAAAACAAAUAAUCCAGUGAAGAAAUGGGCAAAAGACAUGAAUACACACUUCUCCAGAAAAGAUAUCCAGAUGGCCAACCGACACAUGAAAAAAUGCUCAACAUCACUCAUCAUCAGGGAAAUACAAAUCAAAGCCACAUUGAGAUACCACCUCACACCAGUCAGAGUGGCUAAAAUUAACAACUCAGGAAACAACAGAUGCUGACAAGGAUGUGGAGAAAGGGGAAUCCUCUGGCACUGUUGGUGGGAAUGCAAGCUGGUGCAGCCACUCUGGAAAAUAGUGUGGAGGUUCCUCAAAAAAUUAAAAAUAGAAUUACCUUAUGACCCAAUAACUGCACUGCUAGGAAUUUACCCAGAGGAUAAAGGAGUUGCUGCUGACCCCAAUGUUUAUAGAAACACUAUUAACAAUAGGCAAAUUAUGGAAAGAGACCAAAUGUCCAUCAACUGAUGAAUGUAUAAAGAUGUCAUAUAUAUGCACAAUGGACUACUACUCACCAAUGCAAAAGAAAAGAGUAUAUCUUAAAAUGUUAGAAGUGAGAGGAAGCUUAGAUAAUGUUUAUUGCAGUAUCUCUCUCAUAUUGUAGACGAGGAAGUAGUAACUGAAAUAAAAACUCACCUGAAGUCUUAUUAUUGUUGGAGUCAGUCUUCCAAUCAUGGGCUUCUCUUAGCUACAUCAUGUGUGUCACAAAGGAUGACAGGAACAAAAAUGUAGACCAAAUAAAUGAAGAGGGAACUCCAUAUUUCACACAGAAUCAUUUGUUAUUGAGAGUAGAGAUGGAAAAGUCACAUGAGGUGAGGGUUAAACCAAAACUGUACUCCUAUUUUUCAGAUUUUUUGGGGGAGCAUCAAGUUAUGGAGGAGUUUCAAAAUACGAAAUAAAAUAAACUAAUAGGUAACCAGCUUGAGAAAAAGCCUGAAGUACAACGGAUUGCAAACAGUGGCUUGAGGGAACAGUAUGGUUAAUCUAUAGAAAAUAUUUCAUUCAUAUGUAAGUUUUUAUUAUGUAAAUACUUAUUAUUUAUGCCAUUUCCAUAUUAUAUUUAUACCAUAAAGAUGUUUAUUGAUAUAACAUUUAUAUUUGAGGCAUCCAGUUAUAUUUUAGUUCAUUAAAGAUAAGGACAGAGAUUACCCUAAUGAAAUAGAUUUACUCUACAAUGCAUUACUUUAAAUUAUCAAGUGCAGUGCUAUAAACAUUUAUAGUUCUCUGAAAUCUAAAGUUUUACUACUAUAGGUUAUCAAAUUUGGAAAGGUGAGAUUUCAUGAUAGGUAAAGUAUAUGGACAUUUUACCUUAUAUAUGGACAAGACACCUCCUUUUGGCACAAAGCAAUCUGAAACACAAUUUCGACUUGGAGUUUUUGUUAUUAGUUGCAUUUAACCAAUCCCAACUGUUCAAUACUCAUAGGACAUCAAUUUAGACAUAAAAGUGGAAAAUAAUAUUGCAUGCAUUUAAAUAUGGAAUGAUAGUUAGUCACCUACAGAUGCAUUUGCAGAAGCAAGUCUAUUUGCCUCUUCUUCUCGCUAGGAAUAUGCAUACAUCUUGAUUUUAUAUUCCUAAGUGAUUGAUAAAUAUCUAUACCCUUUUUGAAAACAAUGGAAAAAGAACCAUUUCACAUUCUGAAAAUUACCACAAAGUCUUUUUGUUUCCUCAUUCCCUGUUGCUAAUUAUGAUUGGAAAAGUUUUCUCUGUGUACUAAGAUUUAUGAUGAUUUUAAGAAGUAGAGUGUAGUAAGGUAUAUUAAAAUACUCUAUUAAGAGUAUCUGAAUAUGUUGAUAUUUAUACAUGAAGACAAAAGGAACAAGCAAACAAGAAACUAUGAACAAAAUAAGAGUAGGAAAAUUAGAUAUCCAACAUGGAUUUGUUCCCUCUUCUCCUGUAGCCAAAUUAGAGAUGUGUAAUGAUGCUUUGUUAAAUGAUUCACUGGGAGUUAUUUGUUAUCACCACUCAUUGAGCUACACAAUUGUCCUGCUUUCCUUGGGAGUUGUCUCUCCAAAGGUAGCUGGGUAAGCACAAUGAAACUACAUGUAGGCUAAAAAACAGUAAUUUAUUUAAUGAGGUCCAGGAAAACAAAUCUCUGCAAAUAAGCACUUGAGCAAUUUGGAAUAUUGCAAGUACCUACAAUUUUCAAGAGAUUAAGUCAAAUGUUCUUAACCCAAGUCACGUUAAUUCUUCUAGCUUGUAACAUUGCUUAACAUUAUAAUAUUAUAAAUGAGUGACAAGAGCAAACACUCAAAAUUCCAUAUAUUCAUGUAAGCUUUUUUCCUCUGUUAAGUAAUUGUUUUGGGAGCUAUUAGCAUGCUAAAUUUCUCAAACUAUUUUUAAAACUGUUUUUUGGCAUUUUUUUUUUACCAGAACCUACCAGAAUAUUCUUUUUAUUACAACUAGCUCUGUAUAUUUAAAAGAUAACGUUCACUUUCUGAAAUAGCUAAAAACUCUUACCAAAAUCUACAACCCUCUUCCAAAUCAAAAACAAUGUCUCUGAAGUUAUGAGAUUAAUUUACUUGUAUGGGUCAGAAAUUCUCCUACUACUAGUUGUCCAUGAUUUUACAGUGAUAAUACAAUUGUAAUAAAGGUGAUUGCAGACAUAAAAGGUAAAUUAUGUGGUGGCAUCAGUUUUUUAGUUUGUAAGAAAGUUUCAUGCAAAUUAUUUUAAAAAUAAUCUCAUUAAAUAUAUACAGGUAAAUCACAUAUAAUCACAAAUGACAGUAAUACUUGAUGAUAGCAGAACAAUAAACCUGUACAUUAUCUCAGAAAUUCUAUCAGAUUCUAACUUUGAAACAGCAUGUACAAAUUUUCCUAUUAAGAAAGGGAAGAUGAAAUAAAGAUUUAUGGGUUAGCAUAGCUUUAUUAAUAACACUGAAAAAUGAAAAUAUAAAUGUCCAAAAAUAGAGGAUGGAUAAUUAUGUACUCAUUACAAUGCUUGUGAAACAUAUACAUGCUGUAAGAAAUUGUUAUAAUAAUUGCAAAAAUCAGGAUAUAAACUGAAUGCACAAUAUAAGUGCACCAAUUAUGUAUGCUAGAAUGGAGAGAAGUAGUAACAGCUAUUUAUGUGGUGGCAAAGAGAGGAGAUUGUAGGUGACUUUAGUUUUCUUUAUUUAUACACUUAUCAUGAUAUGUUAUUAACAAUGAACAUGUCCUCCUUGUAUGGCCAGGGGGAGAGAACAUUAGCUGUGAUUUACUUAACGUUUAAAAGGAGAUAAACAAGAGGGUCUGGGUGUAGAUAACUGACUCCAUGAGCUCAAACCUUAUUCUGGUAAACAAUUUGCUUUUGGACUGUGGGAUGUUUGAGAAACGUAACUCAGUAGGGGCAUGUAGGUGGCUUAGCCAGUUAAGCGUCUGACUUCGGCUCAGGUCAUGAUCUCAUGGUCUCUGAGUUAGAGCCCCACGUUGGGUUCUAUGCUGACAGCUCAGAGCCUGGAGCCUGCUUUGGAUUCUGUGUCUCCCUCUGUCUUUCUGCCCCUUCCCCACUCAUGCUCUGUCUCUCUCUGUCUCUCAAAAAUCAAUAAAUGUUUAAGAAAAAUUAAAAAAAAAGAAACAUAGCUCAGUAGACAAAUUCCAUCAAAACUCCUGGAAAAAUUGCAGGUGUUUAAAAUAGACUUUAACCCCUGUAAUGCAUCUCUGUGUAAUUUCUUUAAUUCUUCCCUCUGCUUUCCCAAGCCCACCCCAUCCCAUUGCUUGGGUUGCUUUACAAAGACAACUCACUCUUUGCUGCUUCUCUCCUAAACAAAACUAACUUCAUUUAGUACUACAGUAAAUUAAUUUGUGGAAAAGUCAGUAUUUUUAUUUGGAGUAAAUAAUUCCUACUUAGUGGCAAUGAAUGAUAGAUUUAAACAUUUGAGAUGUGUUUGCUUACUUAAUGAAAAGCCUAUUUAUUUCUGGCCUAAAUAAUCUUUUGUUGAAUCUAUUGAAUCUUUUAUUUCUGUGUGUCCCUGAGAUUGCUGUCCAAUUUCUUUUAUGCUGUUAAAAUUCAUUUCAAGGGGUACCUAGGUGUCUCAGUUUGUUAAGUGUCUGACUCUUGAUAUCAGCUCAGGUCAUGAUCUCAUGGUUCAUGGGUUUAAGUCCUGUAUUAGGCUCUGCUUUGAUUAGUGUGAUGUCUGCUUGGAACUCUCUCCCUCUCUCUCUCUCUGCUCCUCACCAGCUCAUGAGUGCUCUCUCUUUCUUUCUCUCUCUCUCUCAAAAAUAAAUAAGCAUUUCUUUAAAAAAUUCAUUUCUAAAAACUAGGGACAGCUAAGUCAAACCAUCUAGGCCAUAUGGGUGUUUUUACAUAGAUCACUGGUUAAAACAUACAUUCUCUUAUUCCAAAGAGUUUUCACCCAGAUAUUUAAGAAAUUCUUCACAGCAACACCAAAUCAACUAAUGUCUUCCUUCCCACCCUCCCAUUAAAAGCUGAUAUACCCAUUUAUUUUUUAAAGUUGUGUCUACUGAGUGUGAUUUGCCUAGAGUAAAAUUCACCAUUUUUGGACUUUUUUCUGGCCAAGAUGGAGUAACAGGGACAAAAUUUACUUUUUACCUAAAACAACUUAAAAACAAGGGUUGGGGUAGGGGGAACAAUAGUAUUUAGACACUGCUUAUCAGGCAGUGCAGGACUUCAAUCUGUGAGGGAUGAGGGAGGAGAAAUAAAGUAAGUGCUGUUAUUGACCCAAAAUACUGGCUAGAGAGUCCCCACGUCAUAUUGCAGAGAGGGGGAAGCCAGGAGGAGCCUGUCAGCAUUUAUGUGUUGAGGGGAUGGAACAGAAAUAUCCAGAAGGGCACACAGAUAAAUUUUGCAAGGCAGAGAAUUGGAGAGGUGAGAAGAGAGCUCCAGAAAGAGUUCUGAAGACCUUAAGAGACCUCUUUGAGUAUUCAGAUAAAUAGUAUCACCAAAUGCAGGUAAGAACAUAACCCAAUGCCAGGGAAAUAACCACCCAAAAGAAACAGAUGGAACAAUCACCUGGCUCACACAGGACCAGGAAGAGUUCCUGUGCUCACCAUUCUUACCAUAGGGCACUGGAUAGUUCUCAGAGAUACUGCCUAAGAGGCAGAGCAAAACGAACCCUAGAGUAAAACACUUACACUCCAGUCUAAUAAAAUAGAAAAGGAAGCUUAAAAAAUAUCAAACCUAAACACAUUCCAAAAUGAAGCUCAAAGAGAUUAAUAGUAAUCCAAAAACACUCAUUUAUUUAUGUAUUUUAUGUAUGUAUACAUAUAUAUUAUACAUAUAUUAUAUAUAUUAUGUAUUUAUAGGACUAUAAUAGUACUAGAACACCCCAACAAGGUAAAACGUACAAUAUCUGACAAUAAAUCAAAAAGUAUUGGGUUUGAAAAGAAGCAAGAGAUUAUACCCAUAAUGAGAACUAAAACCAUCAAUGAAAACAGACCCAGAAGGACACAUAAAAUAGAGUAAAUAGGCAAAACAUUAACAUAAUUAUGCACUUACAUUUCAUAUAAGAAGAUGAGAAAAGUUUGAGCUGAUUAAGUGGAAACACAGAAAACAUUAUAUAUAUAUAUAUACAUAUAUAUAUAUAGUCAAAUAUAUGUAUAUAUCAUAAUAUGUAUAAUACAUAUGUAUAAAUCACAUUUCAAUUUAAUAAAGAUUAAAAAUAUAAUCCCUGAUAUGAAAUCUAUGUCAUCCUGCCUAGACACUGAAGAAAACAGGUCAAUGAACUUAAAGACACAGAAAAAUACAGAAAAAAAUGCUGAAAAAAGUAGAGCACCAAUGUGUUAUGUAAUAACUUCAAGCACCUGAAUGUAACUAAAUUGGAUUGUGAAAAUAGAAGAAAUAAUGGUAUAAAAUUACUAAAAUUUUAUGAAAACUAUAAUUUCUCAGUGUCAAAUAGCUCAAUGAACUCCAGAUACAGGAAAUAUGAAAAAAAAACACAAUACAAAAACAUAUCAUAAUCAAAUUGCUUAAACCCUGUAAUUAAUACAAAAUCAUAAAAUUAUCCACAGGGAAUAAACAUAAAUUAUAUAUGAAAGAACAAAGAAAAGAAGGAUGACCAUGCUUUAUCAUUGAAAGCAAUACAAAAGACCAUGGGCCAACAUCAGUAAAAAACUGAAAGAAAAAGAAGGAUAACUUAGAAUUCUAUAUAGAGUGAAAGCAUCCUUCAAAAAUGUAGAUGGAAUAAAUGAUUUUACAGACAAAUAAAAGCUGAAAGAAUUGAUCACUAGCUGACAUGCCAUGCAAAAAUUGUGAAGGAUAAUCCUUUAGGGAGAAGAAACAUAAUGUACUUGGAAAUCUGUAUCUAUACAAAGAAGAAUUAACACCAGAAAUCCUGUGGGGAUUUAUUUUCAUAAAGGAUAGCUUGUAAUAUGAUAGUUGACCAUUUAAAUAAAAAUGUUAGCAAAGUAUUUUGAUUAUUUAGCAUACAGAGAAAUAAAAUAUGUAACAACAAUUCUACAGAGGCCAGGAGAAGAAAAAUGAAAAACAAUUUUGUAAGGAUUUUAAACUACAUGUGUAAUCACAAAAAAUUACUUAAGGGUGGACUGUGGUAUGUUUAAAAUAUAUCUUUUUAAAAUCCAAAGCAAUGACUAAACCAUAAAACACAAAUUUAUAGUCAGUCAACCAAUAAAGAAGAUAAAAUGGUAUAAUAGGAAAUAAAAAUAAUAAUCCAAAUAAUAUAAAAAAGGUAGGAUAAGUGAAAUAUGCAACAAAGAAUAUGUGAUACAAACAGAAAACAGCAAGGUGAUAGACUUUAAUUCAACUAUAGCAAUAAUCAUAUUACAUAUAAAUGAUCUAGCCACCCCAAUUUAAAAGCUGAGAUUAUCAGAAUAAAAAAAAACUGCAAUACUUAACUAUGCUGUCAAUAAGAAACAUGUUUUAAAUACAAAGAAUAAGUAAAUUAAGAGUAAAAGGACAUAAAACAGCAUAUAAUGCUAACACUAAUCAAAAGAAGCUGGGAUGGCUAUAACAUCAGACAAAUUAAAUUUCAGACAAAACAGCAUAUUACUACUAAUAGAGUUUUGGUUCAUAAUCAUAAAGGGGUAAAUACAUCAAUUUGGAAUUCUUUAAAAAUUGUAAAAAUUGGGACUCCUGGGUGGCUCAGUUGGUUGAGCGUCCGACUUCGGCUCGGGUCAUGAUCUCGCAGAUGACGAGUUUGAGCCCCGCGUUGGGCUCUGUGCUGACAGUUCAGAUCCUGGAGCCUGCUUCUGAUUCUGUGUCUCCCUCUCUCUCUGCCUCUCCCCCUCCCAUGCUCUGUCUCUUUCUGUCUCAAAAAUAAAGAUAAACAUUAAAAAAAGUUAAAUAAAAAAAUUAUAAAAAUGUGUUACAUAUUAACAGAUAUUCAAAAUAAAAUCAAGAAGAAAUAGACAUAUCCACAAUUAUAGCUAAAGAGUUUAAUAUUCUGUGAAUAAUUAAUAGAAAAAGUAAGGAAAAAAAUCUAUCCAGGUAUAGGGAACACCAACCUACUUACCCUAAUUGAUAUUUGUAGAACAUUCCAUUUAACAACAGGAGAAUGUAUUUUCUUUUCAAUUACACAAAGAAUAUUUACAAAGAUGGACCAUAUUCUGGGGCAUAAAAGGAGUCUAAAUACAUUUAAUAGUAUUCAUUAUAUGAAGUAUGCUCUCUAACCCCAAUGAAAUUAAAUUAGAAUUCCAUAAUAUAAUUAUAUCUGGAAGUUUUCCAAAUAUUUGGAAACUAAAUAGUAUACUUCUAAAUGACAAAGAUAGAAUUAAAAUGAAAAUUAGAAAGUAUUUGUAUUGAAUGAGAACAAUAAUUCAUUAAAUCAAAAUAUGUGGAAAGUUGCUAAAGCAGUACUUUCAGAAACUUAGAGAACAAAAGGUCUAUAUUAUAAAAGAAGAAAAAUCUCAGAUCAUUGACUUCAGGGAUCGAUAGAUGUGAUGUGAUUUAUAAUGAGCAACAUACAUUUGGUCUUCCUCCCAGUUCCUGACAUAGAACAACUAACACUCUCAGAAUUUUUCAAGUGAUAAAAGCCAUAAAGUUGUGAUAUUCAUAACAAACUCCUUUCAAUCUCAGUUUAUGUUAAUAAAGCAACUUUUGGACCCUACCUAAGGGUGGGGGCUAGUUGCCUGGGGCAUCAACUAUGUAAUUGGAGAGUUGUAAUUUUCAAUCCCCUCUAGAGAAGAGAGAGGGGCUGGAGGUUGAAUCAAUUAACAGCGGUCAAUGAUUUAAUCAAUCAUGCCAAUGUAAUGAGGCUUCUAUAAAAACACAAAAGGACUGGGUUCAGAGGGCUUCUGGUUUGGCGAACAUGUAGAAAUUUGGGGAGAGUAUUGUGCUGAGAGAAGGCCUGGAAGCUUCAAGCCCCUUCCCCGUCCUGGCCCUAUGCUUCUCUUCGUGUGGCUAUUCCUGAGUUUUAUUAUUUUAUAAUAAACCAACAACCUAUUAAAUAAAAAGCUUCUUCGAGCUUUGUGAGAUACUCUAGCAAAUUAAUUGAAACCAUGAAGGAGGGUCAUUGGAUCUUCCAAUGCAUAGCCAGUGGUCAGAAGUAGAGUUAACAACCUGGAGUUGCUAUUGGGAUCUCAAGUGUUGGAGGGGGUGGAGGAAGCAACAGUCUUAUAGGACUGAGCCCCUAACCUGUGGGAUCUGAUGCUCUCAGUAGAUAGUGUCAGAAUUUAGUUGAAAAAUAGGACAUCUAGCUUGUGUUGAAGAAUUGAUUGAUGCAGGGAAAGAACCCACACAUUAGAAGUAAGCACAGAACAUAGGGUGUUCUUUUUGUCCUUUCUAUAUUUUAUAAACGUAACUCCACUGUCUGCGGCUUCAUAAGAUAUCUGCUAGACUUUCCCUUAUUUGCCUACAAGGAAUAUCUUCUUUUCUCUAGCUGCCUUCAUAAUUUUAUUUUCAUAGUUGUGUUCUAUUUUGAAUAUGAUGUGUCUGGAUGUGUGCUCUUUGUUUUGAUGCUUCUACUAAAUAUAAUUCUCUGAUGUCCUUCAUUAAUUUUGGGCAAUUCAUGGACAUAAUUCCUUCAAGGAUUAUUUUUGCACUGUUCUUUCUGUUUUCACCUUCUAGGAUUCCAUUUACAUGUAUGUAACACCAUUCAAUGUUUUUCACUGAUUUUUUCUUUCAUUUUGGCAAUUUCUAUUGAAUUACCUUCAACUUCACAAAUUCCCCCCUCACUUGUAUUGAUACUAUUAAUGAACACUUUGAAUAAACUCAUCUCUUUACUGUUUCUUUUGUUUUUGACACCUCUUUGACUCAGUUACCAUCUCUCUGCUGAAAUUGCUAAUCUGAUCAAGCAUGUUGUUGCCAUCAUUUUCACUACAACUUUUAACCUAUAAAUCAGUUAUGGUGAUCAAUGAUGAUGAUGAUGAUGAUGAUGAUGAUGUUGAUGAUGACAGUGAUAUUUAAAUUCUGUCUGUAAUUCUAAUAUCUGGGUUAUCUCUGAGUCUGUUUCUGUUUAUGGAUUUACAUAUUGACAGUGGGUUGUAUUUUAUUGCUUUUUGUGUGUUUCAUAGGAUGGAAUUUUUAAGUGAAUGCCUAAUAUUAUGUAUAGAAUGGCAGAGACUAAGGUAAAGAAUAUUUAUGCCUAUAUGUGGACAUAUGUCUUUUGCUAGGCCAUUUUUGCAGGAGAUUAUGUCAAUCUACUAAGGAGUUAAGCUGGGUUUGAAUGUCUGUGUUGCUAGUUUAUUAAUGCUGAGCAGAUUCAAGUUCCUCUAGCUUUGGAUGACCUAGGAUGAAUGCUAUUUUGCCUGAGAAUUUUUUUUUUUACCGUUGCUUUUAUUUUAUUUUUUAAUAGACAUCCAAAUUAGCUAGCAUAUAGUGCAGCAAUGAUUUCAGGAAUAGAUUCCUUAAUGCCCCUGACCCAUUUAGCCCACCCCACCUCCCACAACCUCUCCAGUAAUCCUCUGUUUUUUCUUCAUACUUAAGAGUCUCUUAUGUUUUGUCCCCCUACCUGUUUUUAUAUUAUAUAUGUUUCCCUUCCAUUAUGUUCAUCUGU